rnacentral:rRNA from 1 species
UACAGAGGGUGCGAGCGUUAAUCGGAAUUACUGGGCGUAAAGCGCGCGUAGGCGGCUUUGCAAGUCGGGUGUGAAAUCCCCCGGCUCAACCGGGGAAGUGGCGCGGAUACGGCAUUCCUUGAGGGGCGUAGGGGGACCUGGAACUUCCGGUGGAGCGGUGAAAUGCGUUGAGAUCGGAAGGAACGCCCGUGGCGAAAGCGAGGUCCUGGACGCCUACUGACGCUGAGAUGCGAAAGCCAGGGGAGCGAACGGG